rnacentral:rRNA from 1 species
UACGAAGGGGGCUAGCGUUGCUCGGAAUCACUGGGCGUAAAGGGUGCGUAGGCGGGUCUUUAAGUCAGGGGUGAAAUCCUGGAGCUCAACUCCAGAACUGCCUUUGAUACUGAAGAUCUUGAGUUCGGGAGAGGUGAGUGGAACUGCGAGUGUAGAGGUGAAAUUCGUAGAUAUCGGGAAGAACACCCGUGGCGAAGGCGGCUCUCUGGGACGGUACUGACGCUGAGACGCGAAAGCGUGGGGAGCGAACAGG